GCCCAGGUGGCGGAAUGGUAGACGCGCACGUUUCAGGUGCGUGUGUCGCAAGGCAUGCAGGUUCGAGUCCUGUUCUGGGCA
rnacentral:tRNA from 1 species